rnacentral:rRNA from 1 species
AUGAACGCUGGCGGCGUGCCUAAUACAUGCAAGUCGAGCGAACAGAUAAGGAGCUUGCUCCUUUGACGUUAGCGGCGGACGGGUGAGUAACACGUGGGUAACCUACCUAUAAGACUGGGAUAACUUCGGGAAACCGGAGCUAAUACCGGAUACAUUUGGAACCGCAUGGUUCUAAAGUGAAAGAUGGUUUUGCUAUCACUUAUAGAUGGACCCGCGCCGUAUUAGCUAGUUGGUAAGGUAACGGCUUACCAAGGCGACGAUACGUAGCCGACCUGAGAGGGUGAUCGGCCACACUGGAACUGAGACACGGUCCAGACUCCUACGGGAGGCAGCAGUAGGGAAUCUUCCGCAAUGGGCGAAAGCCUGACGGAGCAACGCCGCGUGAGUGAUGAAGGGUUUCGGCUCGUAAAACUCUGUUAUUAGGGAAGAACAAAUGUGUAAGUAACUGUGCACGUCUUGACGGUACCUAAUCAGAAAGCCACGGCUAACUACGUG